UGGUGCAAUACACAGUGCCUUGAUUCAGCAUGAUCCAAAGGGAAUGACCCCUGGAAAGAUAGCACUUCUGAGUUGUAGUUAUUGUCAAUGAAAGAUUCUGCUUAUGAUCUUCGAAGAAUGAAAAGAAUCUAAUUUUAUCAAGUCUUGAAAAAAAUAUGAAAAUUCUAAAGAAGCAUUCCUCUAGAUUUAAGAUUUCAAGUGACCUGUGCAUUGACAGAAGGCUUCAGUUUAU